rnacentral:rRNA from 1 species
CAGUCGCCGCGGGAAUACAGAGGGUGCAAGCGUUAAUCGGAAUUACUGGGCGUAAAGCGCGCUUAGGUGGUUUGUUAAGUUGGAUGUGAAAUCCCCGGGCUCAACCUGAGAACUGCAUCCAAAACUGGCAAGCUAGAGUAUGGUAGAGGGUGGUGGAAUUUCCUGUGUAGCGGUGAAAUGCGUAGAUAUAGGAAGGAACACCAGUGGCGAAGGCGACCACCUGGACUGAUACUGACACUGAGGUGCGAAAGCGUGGGGAGCAAACAGGAUUAGAUACCCCUGUAGUCCCUGUCUCUUAUAC